rnacentral:rRNA from 1 species
UACGUAGGUGGCAAGCGUUAUCUGGAUUUACUGGGUGUAAAGGGCGUGUAGGCGGUUUUGUAAGUCAGAUGUGAAAUCUCCGGGCUUAACUCGGAAACUGCAUCUGAAACUAUAAAACUUGAGUACUGGAGUGGAUAGUGGAAUUCCUAGUGUAGCGGUAAAAUGCGUAGAUAUUAGGAGGAACACCAGUGGCGAAGGCGACUAUCUGGACAGUAACUGACGCUGAGGCGCGAAAGCGUGGGGAGCAAACAGGAUUAGAUACCCGGGUAGUCCCU